UGGCUGAAACUGGAACCUGACAAAUGGCGGAUAGGUGCACAGCAGUGUGACAGAAGGAAGCAGUUGUGGCACAUAAAAAAGCAAACGAGCAUCCGGAGCCUGCGAAAGCUUGUGCUGGCGCGCGUCUGAGCCACUUCUCCUGCACAGGAGGAGGAGGAGCGCCUCUACCUGCCUCGCAGCCAUUUCACCUGGCAGCGCUCCUUCGAACGAGAAGGCCCAGACACGUCAGCCGACGACAAUAGCAAUGUGUUUCUGUGCAACCUCAA